rnacentral:rRNA from 1 species
UGUGAAGGUCAAACAGUAAGCACAAUCGGCAUAGCCCAACACGUCAGGUCGAGGUGUAGUGUAUGGAAGGGGAAGAAAUGGGCUACAUUCCCUAAUAUUAGGGUAUACGGACGACAUACUGAAACGCAUGUCUGAAGGAGGAUUUAGCAGUAAGCAGGAAGUAGAGUGUCCCGCUGAAACCGGCUCUGAAGCGCGCACACACCGCCCGUCACUCUCCCCGAGCUAAGAUUCUUUAAGUAACUAAAACCCUAUAACUGUAAAGGGGAGGCAAGUCGUAACAUGGUAAGUGUACCGGAAGGUGUACUUGGAACAAA